GCGCUCUGCUCCUCCGCGCUGGAUCCCGAUCAAACUAUAGGUUUACACUCUUAAUGUGGACCCGAAAAGCAUCAUGUACCGGAGGCGCCCGGAGUCUGACGUCACCGCGGCUAUGAUGUCCCUGCAGUCCAGCCGAGUCCUGCUUCUGCAUGUGCCAGUCCUCCUCCUCCUCCGGGACUCCUGCGGGGCUGCACUCCUGAUUCUCGCUAGUCGGCGCUGUUGCAUCAUGCAGUCUUUGAAGCGUGGCUCGGAGCCAUCUCCAAGCGCGCUCACUUGCCUUUACGUGCACGUGCACCCCGCAAUGAGCGCACGCCCUGACCCCGAAAAAGAGGCGCAGCAGACACAGUUUUGCUGCCAUUAUGCAGUGUGGGGUAAAUUACUUCUAAAGAGUAAUAGAAUACUUUACUUACUGUAUCAAAUUAACAAUUAAACUACUUUACUCAGUACCUAUUUGAAAGAGUCAUUAACUUACUUUUCUUUCUCUCAUCUACAAAUUCUCGAGGGAAAAACAGUUAACACAAACUUUAUUUUUAAAGUAAUGACCUCGUGCAAAGUUUGAACCUGGUUCAAGACAUAAUCUGGUUUUAUUAGAAUUCAGACAACAGUGUGAACAAUGAUACAAAAAUAAGUUACAACACGCGUGGUCAAAGUGAGAUGAACCUUACGCCUGGAUCCAUAUCUAUCAAAGCUGAAAUGAAGCCACUCUCUUGAAAGCACAAAGAACUGUUUUAUGCCUCGUGUUCAUUUUCUCUGACUUUGGUUUUUCAGUACAGUAAGUUGAACCUGUUUCUCUCUCUACACCUGCCUGUUGUGCACUGCUGCGAGUCCACCGAUACCCCACCCCCCUUUGUGGAGCGCGUUAAGCAGAGACGCAGUCACCUGCAGCUGAGGGAGAAAAAAGGAGCCCCCUGGUUUCCCUAUGGAAUAUUAUUUCUCAGGAAAACUCCUGCCAGCAGGUGUCACUGUUGUCUGGUACGGCUCCUCAUCUGAAAACUCCUUUGGAUUGGACGGCAGGCUCACCCUUCCAAGAACUCCCCACCUUAGCGUUGUUGUUGGGAACUGAACACCAAACAGGAGACUCGUAUCAGAAACAUCUGCAGCUGUCGGGAGGCGUCAUGUGACAUGUGGCAUCCAGACCUCCAUUCGUCAAAUCAGCACUGGAUGUCAGGGGGUCGAAUCCUCGGGUGCAGAACUUCUGCCGAUGUUUGUAGAGACCCCCCCCCCCCCCCCC